rnacentral:rRNA from 1 species
AUUGAACGCUGGCGGCAGGCUUAACACAUGCAAGUUGAGCGGGGUGAUGGUGCUUGCACUAUCACUUAGCGGCGGACGGGUGAGUAAUGCUUAGGAAUCUGCCUAUUAGUGGGGGACAACAUCUCGAAAGGGAUGCUAAUACCGCGUACGUCCUACGGGAGAAAGCAGGGGAUCACUUGUGACCCUGCGCUAAUAGAUGAGCCUAAGUCGGAUUAGCUAGUUGGUGGGGUAAAGGCCUACCAAGGCGACGAUCUGUAGCAGGUCUGAGAGGAUGAUCCGCCACACUGGGACUGAGACACGGCCCAGACUCCUACGGGAGGCAGCAGUGGGGAAUAUUGGACAAUGGGGGGAACCCUGAUCCAGCCAUGCCGCGUGUGUGAAGAAGGCCUUCGGGUUGUAAAGUACUUUCAGCGGGGAGGAAGGCGGUGAAGUUAAUAACUUCACCGAUUGACGUUACCCGCAGAAGAAGCACCGGCUAACUCCGUGCCAGCCGCCGCCGUAA